AAAUAAAUAAAAAUUUAAUAAGUAUUUUGCGGCAACCCAGGGAUUCUUUAAAAUCGAACUAGGGACCUUUAGAUCUUCAGUCUAACGCUCUCCUUCAGUUUGACAACUGAGCUAUUACCGCUU
rnacentral:tRNA from 1 species